GACUCUCAUGUGUUUUGUAUAUACUGAGAACGUCAGGGCCUCGAGUGCACCAAUGGGCUUUAAAUUUCUUGAUUGGCCUCACCUGGGAUCUCCACCUACCCUUCUGCUUAUAUAAGCAGGACCCUCAUUAAAGUUCACACCUGGGCCUGAACUGAAAGAGCAGAGUAGGGAGGCGAUAGCAGCAGCACUGCCACUAUCAGGAGAAAGAAAGGGAGCAAGUCUGGUCCUUGGUUUGCCCACUGGGAUGUUGAUAUCCACUGAGCCCCUAAAAAUCAGCUGAUAGCAGUGUGAGUAAGUUCUGGGGUGCCAAAACCUCACUAAGAAGGUCACAUCUGGAAGAACUGAGAAGCGAACCCCACAGAAUUCAAUGUAUAUUAACUCCAGGGGAAUGUGGGCAUCUUCUGCCUUCUACCUGAAUUUACACAGGCUGCUGGUAGCUGUGGCUGCAGUUCUUGUAUAGAGUCACCUUAUUUGCUGUAGGAAUUGUAAUGAACUUCUCUAUUGUGCCAUGACGUCUUCCCUCUCCUCUCAUGCUAAGCAUCUCCCUCAUUCACAGAUUUGGCUUCAGAUUACAGCAAUAUCUUUAUUAAAGCAAUGUAAGGCUUUUGAUAGUAUAAGUAUUUUUGACAACUGCAUAGCUGAAUAUUGUCUCAUUAAUCUCCCAGUAAUGAUCCUUGUGGAGUUUAGAUAGUAAAAGAAUAUUUGGAAGUUGGUUGGGUCUAGAAGAUGUAAUUUAAGUGAAAUUAUUUAUCACCUUAAUUCAGUCUGAAGGUGCAAACUUUGUUGGAAAAAAAUCAUUGUGCAACUUACAUUACAUUUUGGAAAAUCUUUAAAAAUGAUUAUUUUCCUCUGAUUUUCAGCAUCCAUAUUGUAACAUGUAUUGAGGGAGGGAAAAGGAUGAAUAAAUUGAUAUAAUUCCAGAGCACUGCAUCUUUUUCAAGAGAUGUGAAAACCUUCUGAAGUACUAUUUCAACAGAGCAGUUCAUUUUGCAGAAAGUUGCAACUAGUUGCUCAUACCUAUGAAAAGUGAUGGAUUUUGAUAUCUAUUAAAGUACAAGUCUUAAGUUAACUUCUAACUAAAUAAAGCAAUGUGUUUUAGGUC
rnacentral:lncRNA from 7 species